CCUGACUGCUAUCGGAUUGAUACUAAGCCAUGCGAGUCAUUGUAGUAAUACAAGGCAGACGGCUCAGUAACGCGUAGUCAACCUAACCUAUAGACGGGAAUAACCUCGGGAAACUGAGUAUAAUGCCCGAUAGAGCAUUAUGCCUGGAAUGGUUUAUGUUCCAAAUGAUUUAUCGCCGUAGGAUGGGACUGCGGCCUAUCAGUUUGUUGGUGAGGUAAUGGCCCACCAAGACUAUUACAGGUACGGGCUCUGAGAGGAGUGGCCCGGAGAUGGGUACUGAGACACGGACCCAGGCCCUAUGGGGCGCAGCAGGCGAGAAAACUUUGCAAUGUGCGAAAGCACGACAAGGUUAAUCCGAGUGGUUUCUGCUAAAGGAACCUUUUGUCAGUCCUAGAAACACUGAUGAAUAAGGGGUGGGCAAGUUCUGGUGUCAGCCGCCGCGGUAAAACCAGCACCUCAAGUGGUCAGGAUGAUUAUUGGGCCUAAAGCAUCCGUAGCCGGCUUUGUUAGUUUUCGGUUAAAUCUGUACGCUUAACGUACAGGCUGCCGGGAAUACUGCAGAGCUAGGGAGUGGGAGAGGUAGACGGUACUCGGUAGGAAGGGGUAAAAUCCUUUGAUCUAUUGAUGACCACCUGUGGCGAAGGCGGUCUACCAGAACACGUCCGACGGUGAGGGAUGAAAGCUGGGGGAGCAAACCGGAUUAGAUACCCGGGUAGUCCCAGCUGUAAACUAUGCAAACUCAGUGAUGCAUUGGCUUGUGGCCAAUGCAGUGCUGCAGGGAAGCCGUUAAGUUUGCCGCCUGGGAAGUACGUACGCAAGUAUGAAACUUAAAGGAAUUGGCGGGGGAGCACCACAAGGGGUGAAGCCUGCGGUUC
rnacentral:rRNA from 1 species